rnacentral:rRNA from 1 species
AACGAACGCUGGCGGCAGGCUUAACACAUGCAAGUCGCACGAGAAAGGGAGCAAUCCCCGGUAAAGUGGCGCACGGGUGAGUAACACGUGGAUAAUCUUCCCUCGAGCGGGGGAUAACCUUCCGAAAGGAGGGCUAAUACCGCAUAAGACCACGGCCAGUACGCUGGCUGAGGUCAAAGCUGGCCUCUUCAUGAAAGCUAGCACUCGAGGAUGAGUCCGCGGCCCAUCAGGUAGUUGGCGGGGUAAUGGCCCACCAAGCCGAAGACGGGUAGCUGGUCUGAGAGGAUGAUCAGCCACACUGGAACUGAGACACGGUCCAGACUCCUACGGGAGGCAGCAGUGGGGAAUCUUGCGCAAUGGGCGAAAGCCUGACGCAGCGACGCCGCGUGGGUGAUGAAGGCCUCGGGUUGUAAGCCUCGUGGGGAGGGACGGAAGU